CCAAUAGCGUAUAUUAAAGUUGUUGCAGUUAAAAAGCUCGUAGUUGAACUUCAGGCCUGGCUGGAUGGUCCGCCUUCUGGGUGAGUACUGUCUGUGGUCGGGUCCUACCUUCUGGCGAAGCGUCAUGGCCUUCACCGGCCGUGGCGGGGAGCCAGGACUUUUACUGUGAAAAAAUUAGAGUGUUUAAAGCAGGCUAACGCCUGAAUACAUUAGCAUGGAAUAAUGAAAUAGGACGUUGAUCCUAUUUUGUUGGUUUCUAGGAUUGACGUAAUGAUUAAUAGGGAUAGUUGGGGGCAUUAGUAUUCAAUUGUCAGAGGUGAAAUUCUUGGAUUUAUUGAAGACUAACUACUGCGAAAGCAUCUGCCAAGGAUGUUUUCAUUAAUCAAGAACGAAAGUUAGGGGAUCGAAGACGAUCAGAUACCGUCGUAGUCUUAACCAUAAACUAUGCCGACUAGGGAUCGGAUGAUGUUAAUUUUAUAAUGACUCAUUCGGCGCCUUACG
rnacentral:rRNA from 1 species